GACGUAGGGUGCGAGCGUUGUCCGGAUUUAUUGGGCGUAAAGAGCUCGUAGGCGGCUCGUCGCGUCGACCGUGAAAACCAGCAGCUUAACUGCUGGCUUGCGGUUGAUACGGGCGGGCUAGAGUUCGGUAGGGGAGACUGGAAUUCCUGGUGGAGCGGUGAAAUGCGCAGAGAUCAGGAGGAACACCCGUGGCGAAGGCGGUUCUCUGGAACGCAACUGACGCUGAGACGCGAAAGCGUGGGGAGCAAACAGG
rnacentral:rRNA from 1 species